ACGGAGCUAAACAGUGCCGGCCCGCCGGAGAGGCACCUGGGAAAUUUUUUUUUGCCGAAAGCGCACGCGCAAUGAACCUCUCAGGGGGUCAUGCUGGGAUAUGUAGUUUCGGUCUCUCGCUCUGCCAGCAUACAGCAACGUGGGGCAGCCUGGUCUAGUGGUGAGAGCUGAGGGUUGGCAGUGCACUGUGGUAUUCAAGGUGACCUGAUGCUUUAGUUUCCAGAAUUCCCCCAGCAGCACCCAUCUGUGGUUCUUCACUCCCCAUACAAGAAGACUCCUGAAAACACCUGAGGAACAAAGACUGAACUGAGGGAAGUGCUGGACCCAGGCUAAAGAGAUUUCUAGCUUGUGUAUGAAAUACCUGGAAGAUUCUAAGCUGUAAAGCAAGUACAGCUUGCCUCUUAAGAAUCUGCAGCCUGCUUGUAUCCUCUCUUAGGCCUAGACACCAGACUUGUCUCCCUGACACUCUUGUGUCUCAAGAUGAAGGAAGAUCUUUGUGUGAAGAGUUUCAAUGAUAAUGAGGUGAUCACAGCAGUUGAAGAGUUUCUGGAUGUGCUGGACAGAGAUGCCUACAAGCCAGGCAUAGUCAGCCAGUUGUGCUGGACCAAGUGCAUUGAUGUCAAGGGGGAUUAUACUGAAAAAUAAACAA